rnacentral:misc_RNA from 1 species
GAUGAAGAACGUAGUGAAAUGCGAUAAGUAAUGUGAAUUGCAGAAUUCAGUGAAUCAUCGAAUCUUUGAACGCACCUUGCGCUCCUUGGCAUUCCGAGGAGCAUGCCUGUUUGAGUGUCAUUAAAUUCUCAAGACCUGUCUGCUUUUUUGAUAGGUAUUGGAUUUUGGGGGUUGCAGGCUGUUUCAAAUAAAUAGCCUUGCUCUCCUUGAAUGUAUUAGUGGAGAAAAGCCAUUGAACUCCAUUGGUGUGAUAAAACCUAUCAAUGCCAGGAGCAAUAUUACUACUUCUCUCUGCUGUCUAACUGUGACUGUCUGUAUUAAUUAGUAUGGAUGGGGACAACUUGACCAACUUGACCUCAAAUCAGGUAGGACUACCCGCUGAACUUAAGCAUAUCAAUAAGCGGAGGA